GUUAACAAUCGUGUGUUAACUUCACAGGUGGAGAAGUUUGGUCUACAUUUAGCUAUCGAUGAAGGUGACUCUGACCAGCCCCCUGACCGUCUGCUGGCAACUCCAUCUUUAAUCUUCAAGUCAUGAUGACGAGGCUAAAGGGGGAACAAAUAAAACUGCAACACGUUGCCACCUGAAGAAGAAGAAGAAGAAGAAGAAGACGACUUCAGAGGCUCCAUUGAACAUCUCUCUCCACCGCACAGAUGGCUGGACUGUGGUGGAUGACUGUGAUGCUGGUGUUCUUCUGGUCUGUUGGAAGUUUGGAUGCUGUGGACCAGAACAAGCUUGCGAAACUCAUACAAGACGUCAAGAAAGCGUACAAAUUAGAUGGCAUGUUCAGUCUGGCUCUAAGCAUCAAGAGCGAGGACCCAGAAAACGUAAAGGAACUCCUCAAAGAGAACCCUGAAGAACAGGUGAAAGAGCAGCUUUCAAAGGGUGCUGUGUACGCUAGCAACAGCCUUGUUGUAGCAAAAGUUAAACCACCUGAACAUGCCGAGUUCCGAGUUUUGCAGAACUUAAACCUUGUCAGCAAUGACAGUGACUUGCUGGUCAUCUACUCUUACGCUUCCUCUUGUCCCCGAACAUGUACAAACAAGAGUAAUCGAUACAACAUCAUCAAAAAGAUUAACGAUGUCAUUAACAAAGGAAAUUGGAGUAGACACGUCUUUGUGUUUGAAAAAAUAUUCAAGCCUAGAGAUAAAGGUCCUCUUGAUGAGGAAACACUGGAAAAGGCUCUUAAAGAACUUGGAACAUCUGGAAUCCCUCUUGCUAACAUAUUUCGCUGUUACCAACAAAAAUCCAAUUUUCAGUGCACAAGCUGCUCCAGUGGUGGAAAUGUUACAAAGGCAUGUCUUGAUCACAAACUAGAAAGUCUAAAUGUGCUUCAUAACAACACAUUUCCUCAAAACCAUUCAAAACAAUAUAUACAAGAGGAGAAACAGGGACACCUGGUGGGUAAAGUGAAAAGGUGCGUAGGACUGGGUGACUAAACAGAGACAACAGAAACUAUAACAUUACACAAAGGAAAACACACACUUGCAGAAGUCAAUGCAUCAACACAUGAAUUGCCUUCUGGUAUUUUUCUAUAGUUCUGGAUCUAAACAUGCAAAAUAAUUUCAUACAAGAAGAUAUUUACAUCAGCAAAACUUUUAUUCUAACGGUAAAAACAACACUAUGAAGCUGGGUAAAAGUGCUGCAGGAAUGAGUCCUAAAACCCAGAAAUGACUUUUGGUUACAUGUCUGAAAUAAUGUCUGUGGUUAACAUCAGCUUAAAAGAUUCAGAAAAACGUCACACUCCGGAAUUUACAAAUUUUCAUGUUUUUAAAAAUGGCGAUUGCUAAAAAGUGGCGAAAUGAAACUACAAAACGUCGCCAUCUUUAGCUUUUUACUUCUGCUGAUUGCAUUUACACUUCAGAGAUCAUAACAGUGAUGUUCAUUCGUGAAGAUUAGUUUCCUCAACAUAACGUGGAAGUAUCAUUGUUUGCCACAGAGCUUUAUUUUCUGCAAUAAUCCAAAAUCAAAUCAUUGUCGAGGGUCCAGUGCGAUGCUGACUUCCUCAUACGUCAUCCCUGCAGCACUUCAUGUAGAAGCACACGGCCCGCUUGUUGUGAUUUACAAUACGUGUGUAUCUACAGAACCGACUUCCGAAGUCAAAGCAAAUAUUUAACCAGCUAGCAAAGCGCUCGCAGCAGCCUCGGGUUAUUUAGAGUUGUUAUUUGAAUUUGAUUGCACCGAACUAAUCGAGUUGUUAUUGAAUGCAUCUCAGGAGAAUUCCAGUCUCACUGCGCUCAGUAUCGGUCUACUCAUCACCCAUGUUCAUGUUCACAUUUAGAAAAUAAAAACGUUAUAAAUGUGUAACUCAAGUUGAAAACAAUGCCGGUGUUUGAUGAUGUAUUAGAUGACUCCUGAAUGAAGAUGUUCUGUAAUGAUUUUGUUAAUAGAUGGGUUAUUUGGCUUUGAUUUGACCAGCCAAUCGGUGCUUGUGUAUCUUUGUACUGAUUGCUCAACCCACUGCAUGGGCCUAUUUGUGAUUUUGUGAAUUGGUUUUGUUUUGUUGUACAGAAACACUCUGUAUUCAUUAUAGUAAGCAGAAAUAAAGACCAUAUUUAGGUAAAGCUCACUAUAUGUACUGUACUCAUGUCAUUGUACUCUUUCUAUCUCUGUAAAGCAUUGGCAAAUUAAAGCUUGGCUCAGCAUUGACUUUG